UGUGGUUUAAUUCGAUGCAACGCGAAGAACUUACCUGGUCUUGACAUCCCGGAGACCCUUAGGAAACUAGGGGUGCUUCCAUCUGGAAGAAUCUGGAGACAGGUGCUGCAUGGCUGUCGUCAGCUCGUGUCGUGAGAUGUUGGGUUAAGUCCCGCAACGAGCGCAACCCUUGCCUUUAGUUGCCAGCAGUUCGGCUGGGCACUCUAAAGGGACUGCCGGUGUUAAACCGGAGGAAGGUGGGGAUGACGUCAAGUCCUCAUGGCCUUUAUGACCAGGGCUACACACGUACUACAAUGGCCGAUACAAAGGGCAGCGACACUGCGAGGUGAAGCCAAUCCCGUAAAAUCGGUCUCAGUCCGGAUUGGAGUCUGCAACUCGACUCCAUGAAGUUGGAAUCGCUAGUAAUCGUGGAUCAGCAUGCCACGGUGAAUACGUUCCCGGGCCUU
rnacentral:rRNA from 1 species